AUGCUUGGGAAACACGGCUGGCGCCUUCUAACCAGACCGGAUUCUUUGUGUGCUAGGGUACUGAAGGGCAAAUAUUUCCCUCACACGGAUUUUCUUAAUGCGACAGUUCCGGCCAGAGCUUCGGCAACCUGGAAGGCCAUUGUUGCAGGGCGAGAUGCAUUACAGGUUGGUCUCAUUCGUCGAGUAGGCGAUGGCUCAACCAUCUCAACAUGGACAGAUAGUUGGAUUCCGAGCACGACCACACUGAAACCCUCGGGGCGCAUCGGCACUGCGUCGUUAACAAGGGUCUCAGAUCUUAUUGAUGAAUACACGGGGAACUGGAAUGAACAACUAGUCUGUCAGAAUUUCUUGCACCUGGACGCGAUAGCCAUCCUAAAUAUACCGCUCAAUCCGGCGGGUGGUGAAGAUACUUUGGCCUGGGCUUUGGAGAAGUCGGGUAUCUACACUGUGAAAUCAGCGUAUCUUUCUCUUAUGACUCACAACGAGCUUGGCUCUUUAGAGGAAGGGGCGAUCGCAGAAACUUCAUCAGCUAACAAACAGUUGUGGACUGCUUUAUGGCGACUUCGAGUCGUUCCCAAAGUUCGGGUAUUU
rnacentral:rRNA from 1 species